rnacentral:rRNA from 1 species
UGGGGAAUCUUGCACAAUGGGCGCAAGCCUGAUGCAGCCAUGCCGCGUGUAUGAAGAAGGCCUUCGGGUUGUAAAGUACUUUCAGUCGGGAGGAAGGUGGUAAGGUUAAUAACCUUAUCAAUUGACGUUACCGACAGAAGAAGCACCGGCUAACUCCGUGCCAGCAGCCGCGGUAAUACGGAGGGUGCAAGCGUUAAUCGGAAUUACUGGGCGUAAAGCGCACGCAGGCGGUUGAUUGAGUCAGAUGUGAAAUCCCCGGGCUUAACCCGGGAAUUGCAUCUGAUACUGGUCAGCUAGAGUCUUGUAGAGGGGGGUAGAAUUCCAUGUGUAGCGGUGAAAUGCGUAGAAAUGUGGAGAAAUACCGGUGGCGAAGGCGGCCCCCUGGACAAAGACUGACGCUCAGGUGCGAAAGCGUGGGGAGCAAGCAGG